rnacentral:rRNA from 1 species
AACGAACGCUGGCGGCAGGCUUAACACAUGCAAGUCGAACGCACCUUUCGGGGUGAGUGGCAGACGGGUGAGUAACGCGUGGGAAUCUACCCUUCUCUACGGGAUAGCUCCGGGAAACUGGAAUUAAUACCGUAUACGUCCUGAGGGAGAAAGAUUUAUCGGGGAAGGAUGAGCCCGCGUUGGAUUAGCUAGUUGGUGGGGUAAAGGCCUACCAAGGCGACGAUCCAUAGCUGGUCUAAGAGGAUGAUCAGCCACAUUGGGGCUGAGACACGGCCCAAACUCCUACGGGAGGCAGCAGUGGGGAAUAUUGGACAAUGGGCGCAAGCCUGAUCCAGCCAUGCCGCGUGAGUGAUGAAGGCCCUAGGGUUGUAAAGCUCUUUCAGUGGGGACGAUAAUGACGGUACCCACAGAAGAAGCCCCGGCUAACUUCGUG